rnacentral:rRNA from 1 species
AUCGAUAAUCCACGCUAANUCUCACUUAAAUUAUAAAAUUUAUAUACCGCCAUCUUUAGAAUAAAUUUAAAAAUAUUCUCUAAAAAAUAAAUAAAAAGUUAGGUCAAGGUGUAAUCCAAAUUAAAGAAUAAGAUGAAUUACACUAAAAAUAAUUUAAAGAUUAUAUAUAGAUAUAAAUACAAAUAAGGAUUUAAAAGUAAUAUUAAAAUAAUAUUAUAAUAUGAUAUAGAUCAUGAAUGUGUACACAUCGCCC